UACGGAGGGUGCGAGCGUUGUCCGGAAUCAUUGGGCGUAAAGGGCGCGUAGGUGGCCCGGUCAGUCAGUGGUGAAAGCGCGGGGCUCAACUCCGCGUCGGCCAUUGAUACUGCUGGGCUGGAGCACUGUAGAGGCAGGCGGAAUUCCGGGUGUAGCGGUGGAAUGCGUAGAGAUCCGGAGGAACACCAGAGGCGAAGGCGGCCGGCUGGACCUGACCUGACGCUGAGGCACGAAGGCGUGGGGAGCGAACGGG
rnacentral:rRNA from 1 species